UUGGGCGGGCGGCCGUUAAGACUUGCAGUGAUGUUUAACUCCUCUCCACGUGAACAUCACAGCAAGUCUGUGCUGCUUCCCGUCCCUAC
rnacentral:pre_miRNA from 22 species